AAUAGAGUCAUAGACCACCAACCGGACCCAAUCCACGCAGAAUUUUAAUUUUUAUCACUGAAUUUUUCGAGUAAUUCGAAAUAGACAGAGAGAUUUGAUAUUGAGGGCAGUCGAAGAAGACAGACCUCCAUAGCUGAAGUUGAAGCUCUGUCACACUUCACAUCCCCAACACAAUGCGGAGAGCGGGGCUCCAUCACCGGCCGCAUGGGAAGGUUGGAUCAGCAGCAGGAGGAGUGAAAGGAAUGAUGGGGAGGCUGUCCAUCGCCGUUGUUGUCCUCUUGAUCUGCACGGUUUCUUUGCUUCUUAAAUCCACCAGCAAUGGCGGUGCUCGAUCUGCUUACCGUACCCAGAUCAAUGUAGAAGAACUUUGGAAUGGUGCUGAUUCUGGUGGUUGGAGACCGUCAUCAGCUCCACGCUCUGAAUGGCCCCCUCCACCUAGGGAGACUAAUGGCUAUCUCCGAGUACGCUGUAAUGGUGGUCUAAAUCAACAACGUAGCGCGAUAUGUAAUGCGGUUUUAGCUGCACGAAUCAUGAAUGCUACCCUUGUGCUGCCCGAGUUGGAUGCAAACUCCUUUUGGCAUGAUGAUAGUGGCUUCCAUGGUAUAUAUGAUGUUGAGCACUUUAUCAGAGCACUGAGGUUUGAUGUACGUAUUGUGGAAAGCCUACCAGAAAUUCGCAAAAAUGGGAAGACCAAGAAGAUAAAAGCUUUGCAGAUUAAUCCCCCUAGAGAUGCUCCUGUUAGUUGGUAUACUACUGUUGCUCUAGAGAAAAUGAAACAGCAUGGUGCCAUCUACCUCACUCCCUUUUCACAUCGUUUGUCAGAAGAAGUUGACAACCCUGAGUACCAAAGGUUAAGGUGCAGGGUUAAUUAUCAUGCUCUAAGAUUUAAGCCACAGAUUAUGAAAUUAAGUCAAUCAAUAGUUGAUAAGCUCCGUACACAAGGCCACUUCAUGUCUAUACAUCUUCGGUUUGAGAUGGAUAUGCUGGCAUUUGCUGGGUGCUUCGACAUUUUCACCCCUGCACAGCAAAAGAUCUUAAAGAAAUAUCGAGAAGAAAAUUUUGCACCAAAAAAGCUGGUUUAUAAUGAAAGGAGAGCUAUUGGAAAAUGCCCAUUAACUCCAGAAGAGGUUGGUCUUCUUUUACGUGCAAUGGGGUUUGACAAUUCUACCAGAAUAUACCUGGCAGCUGGUGAAUUAUUUGGCGGUGAGAAAUUCAUGAAACCAUUUCGAUCUCUGUUCCCCCACCUUGAGAACCACAGCUCUGUGGAUCCCUCUGAAGAUCUCGCAGGAAACACGAGAGGAUUGUUAGGGUCUGCUGUGGAUUACAUGGUCUGUCUUCUCUCUGAUAUUUUUAUGCCUACAUAUGAUGGCCCUAGCAACUUUGCCAAUAAUCUCCUUGGACACCGCUUGUACUAUGGAUUUCGGACUACACUGCGACCUGACAGAAAGGGUCUUGCUCCAAUCUUCAUUGAUCGGGAAAAUGGAAAGACAGCAGGUUUUGAUGAAGCUGUUAGGCAAGUCAUGCUCAAAACAAACUUUGGUGGACCUCACAAACGGAUCUCACCUGAGUCCUUCUACACAAAUUCUUGGCCAGAGUGUUUCUGCCAAAUGUCAUCACAGAAUCCUGCUCAUAAAUGUCCUCCAAAUGAUGUCCUAGAGAAACUUAACAACCAGCUAGAGAGUGAAGUAGCUAAUGAUCUAAAUUCCUUAUCUCUAUCAAACUCCACAGGAUCUGUAGCAGAAAGAUGAGAAACUUUGCCUCAGACUAGAGUUAGUGAUUUGUUUUUACCACAAUACUUGUGAGCCAUUAUAUGUCAAACUAAGAAGACAUGGGUUGUGAUAACCAUUCUCAGGUAGGGAUGCUGGAGUAUUUUUGCUAUAUUAUGAUUGGUUUUUCAAAGGUUGAUUCUAAAUCCCUGGCUUCAUCUUUCAAAUGGCCCAGCAGGUUCACGAUACUUUAGGAUUCGGACUAUGUAUAUGAGAUAUACUUUACACGGCUGUGCAUAUGGAUGUUCUGAUUAUGCACAUAUGGAACUAAAUUGAUGAUAAAUUUGUGAAAUAUUUGUAUCAUGUUAAAUUACGGAUUUCUGAUACCAUAUGACAUUUGUUUUGACUUUUAUGCAUCACUAACCCCUUUUCCUAUUCCAAUAAUAUAUCUUUUUGAUUUC